GACGGAGGGUGCAAGCGUUGUUCGGAAUUACUGGGCGUAAAGGGCGCGUAGGCGGUCUGUUAAGUUCGGUGUGAAAGCCCCCGCUUACCCGGGGAACUGCGCCGGAAACCGACAGACUCGAGUACCGGAGAGGAGGGUGGAAGUUCCUGGUGUAGCGGUGAAAUGCGUAGAUAUCAGGAGGAACACCGGUGGCGGAAGGCGGCCCUCUGGACGGAUACUGACGCUGAGGCGACGGAAAGCGUGGGGGAGCGAACAGG
rnacentral:rRNA from 1 species